UAAAAGGGCUUCUGUGAGUGAUACAGGGAGGGCAACUCCCUUGCUCUAUGCGCAGAAUCGACACCAGGAGAUUUCAGAAGCUUAAUUUUUUGGCAAUAGGGCAGCUGGUGCCUGGUACUCCUGGUGCCUCU